AUUGAACGCUGGCGGCAGGCCUAACACAUGCAAGUCGAGCGGAUGAAGGGAGCUUGCUCCUGGAUUCAGCGGCGGACGGGUGAGUAAUGCCUAGGAAUCUGCCUGGUAGUGGGGGAUAACGUCCGGAAACGGGCGCUAAUACCGCAUACGUCCUGAGGGAGAAAGUGGGGGAUCUUCGGACCUCACGCUAUCAGAUGAGCCUAGGUCGGAUUAGCUAGUUGGUGGGGUAAAGGCCUACCAAGGCGACGAUCCGUAACUGGUCUGAGAGGAUGAUCAGGCACACUGGAACUGAGAAACGGUCCAGACUCCUACGGGAGGCAGCAGUGGGGAAUAUUGGACAAUGGGCGAAAGCCUGAUCCAGCCAUGCCGCGUGUGUGAAGAAGGUCUUCGGAUUGUAAAGCACUUUAAGUUGGGAGGAAGGGCAGUAAGUUAAUACCUUGCUGUUUUGACGUUACCAACAGAAUAAGCACCGGCUAACUUCGUG
rnacentral:rRNA from 1 species